CGGCAGCACGGGUGCUUGCACCUGGUGGCGAGUGGCGAACGGGUGAGUAAUAUAUCGGAACAUACCCUAGAGUGGGGGAUAACGUAGCGAAAGUUACGCUAAUACCGCAUACGAACUAAGGUUGAAAGUGGGGGAUCGCAAGACCUCAUGCUCAUGGAGUGGCCGAUAUCUGAUUAGCUAGUUGGUGAGGUAAAGGCUCACCAAGGCGACGAUCAGUAGCUGGUUUGAGAGAACGACCAGCCACACUGGAACUGAGACACGGUCCAGACUCCUACGGGAGGCAGCAGUGGGGAAUUUUGGACAAUGGGGGCAACCCUGAUCCAGCAAUGCCGCGUGAGUGAAGAAGGCCCUCGGGUUGUAAAGCUCUUUUGUCAGGGAAGAAACGGUCUACUCUAAUACAGUGGGCUAAUGACGGUACCUGAAGAAUAAGCACCGGCUAACUACGUGCCAGCAGCCGCGGUAAUACGUAGGGUGCAAGCGUUAAUCGGAAUUACUGGGCGUAAAGCGUGCGCAGGCGGUUUUAUAAGACAGAGGUGAAAUCCCCGGGCUCAACCUGGGGACUGCCUUUGUGACUGUAAGGCUAGAGUGUGUCAGAGGGGGGUAGAAUUCCACGUGUAGCAGUGAAAUGCGUAGAUAUGUGGAGGAAUACCGAUGGCGAAGGCAGCCCCCUGGGAUAACACUGACGCUCAUGCACGAAAGCGUGGGGAGCAAACAGGAUUAGAUACCCUGGUAGUCCACGCCCUAAACGAUGU
rnacentral:rRNA from 1 species